rnacentral:rRNA from 1 species
AACGAACGCUGGCGGCGUGCCUAACACAUGCAAGUCGAGCGAGAAAGCCCGCAAGGGUGAGUAAAGCGGCGCACGGGUGCGUAACACGUGGGUAAUCUGCCCUAGAGUCCGGAAUAACUCGCCGAAAGGCGUGCUAAUGCCGGAUGAGACCACGGGAGCUUCGGCUCCUGCGGGAAAAGGUGGCCUCUGUACACAAGCUAUCGCUCUAGGAUGAGCCCGCGGCCCAUCAGCUCGUUGGCGGGGUAAUGGCCCACCAAGGCAACGACGGGUAGCUGGUCUGAGAGGACGAUCAGCCACACUGGAACUGAGACACGGUCCAGACUCCUACGGGAGGCAGCAGUGGGGAAUCUUGCGCAAUGGGCGAAAGCCUGACGCAGCAACGCCGCGUGUGUGAUGAAGGUCUUCGGAUCGUAAAGCACUGUCGCGAGGGACGAAUAAGGGACGGGCGAACAGUCCGUCACGAUGACGGUACCUCGAGAGGAAGCACCGGCUAACUCUGUGCCAGCAGCCGCGGUAAUACAGAGGGUGCGAGCGUUGUUCGGAAUUAUUGGGCGUAAAGCGCGUGUAGGCGGCCUAGCAAGUCGGAUGUGAAAGCCCUCGGCUUAACCGAGGAAGUGCGUUCGAAACUACUGGGCUUGAGUACCGGAGAGGGUGGCGGAAUUCCCGGUGUAGAGGUGAAAUUCGUAGAUAUCGGGAGGAACACCAGUGGCGAAGGCGGCCACCUGGACGGAUACUGACGCUGAGACGCGAAAGCGUGGGUAGCAAACAGGAUUAGAUACCCUGGUAGUCCACGCUGUAAACGAUGAGCGCUAGGUGUUGCGGGUGUUGACCCCUGCAGUGCCGCAGCUAACGCAUUAAGCGCUCCGCCUGGGAAGUACGGCCGCAAGGCUAA